GGGUUACGGUGCCCAACUGCGC
rnacentral:siRNA from 1 species